UUUAUGGAGAGUUUGAUCCUGGCUCAGAGUGAACGCUGGCGGCGUGCCUAAUACAUGCAAGUCGAACGAUGAAGCUUCUAGCUUGCUAGAAUGCUGAUUAGUGGCGCACGGGUGAGUAAUGCAUAGGUCAUGUGCCUCUUAGUUUGGGAUAGCCAUUGGAAACGAUGAUUAAUACCAGAUACUCCCUACGGGGGAAAGAUUUAUCGCUAAGAGAUCAGCCUAUGUCCUAUCAGCUUGUUGGUAAGGUAAUGGCUUACCAAGGCUAUGACGGGUAUCCGGCCUGAGAGGGUGAACGGACACACUGGAACUGAGACACGGUCCAGACUCCUACGGGAGGCAGCAGUAGGGAAUAUUGCUCAAUGGGGGAAACCCUGAAGCAGCAACGCCGCGUGGAGGAUGAAGGUUUUAGGAUUGUAAACUCCUUUUGUUAGAGAAGAUAAUGACGGUAUCUAACGAAUAAGCACCGGCUAACUCCGUGCCAGCAGCCGCGGUAAUACGGAGGGUGCAAGCGUUACUCGGAAUCACUGGGCGUAAAGAGCGCGUAGGCGGGAUAGUCAGUCAGGUGUGAAAUCCUAUGGCUUAACCAUAGAACUGCAUUUGAAACUACUAUUCUAGAGUGUGGGAGAGGUAGGUGGAAUUCUUGGUGUAGGGGUAAAAUCCGUAGAGAUCAAGAGGAAUACUCAUUGCGAAGGCGACCUGCUGGAACAUUACUGACGCUGAUUGCGCGAAAGCGUGGGGAGCAAACAGGAUUAGAUACCCUGGUAGUCCACGCCCUAAACGAUGGAUGCUAGUUGUUGGAGGGCUUAGUCUCUCCAGUAAUGCAGCUAACGCAUUAAGCAUCCCGCCUGGGGAGUACGGUCGCAAGAUUAAAACUCAAAGGAAUAGACGGGGACCCGCACAAGCGGUGGAGCAUGUGGUUUAAUUCGAAGAUACACGAAGAACCUUACCUAGGCUUGACAUUGAGAGAAUCCGCUAGAAAUAGUGGAGUGUCUAGCUUGCUAGACCUUGAAAACAGGUGCUGCACGGCUGUCGUCAGCUCGUGUCGUGAGAUGUUGGGUUAAGUCCCGCAACGAGCGCAACCCCCUUUCUUAGUUGCUAACAGGUUAUGCUGAGAACUCUAAGGAUACUGCCUCCGUAAGGAGGAGGAAGGUGGGGACGACGUCAAGUCAUCAUGGCCCUUACGCCUAGGGCUACACACGUGCUACAAUGGGGUGCACAAAGAGAAGCAAUACUGCGAAGUGGAGCCAAUCUUCAAAACGCCUCUCAGUUCGGAUUGUAGGCUGCAACUCGCCUGCAUGAAGCUGGAAUCGCUAGUAAUCGCAAAUCAGCCAUGUUGCGGUGAAUACGUUCCCGGGUCUUGUACUCACCGCCCGUCACACCAUGGGAGUUGUGUUUGCCUUAAGUCAGGAUGCUAAACUAGCUACUGCCCACGGCACACACAGCGACUGGGGUGAAGUCGUAACAAGGUAACCGUAGGUGAACCUGCGGUUGGAUCACCUCCUUUCUAGA
rnacentral:rRNA from 1 species